GCAACCCUUGUCCUUAGUUACCAGCACGGUUAUGGUGGGCACUCUAAGGAGACUGCCGGUGACAAACCGGAGGAAGGUGGGGAUGACGUCAAGUCAUCAUGGCCCUUACGGCCUGGGCUACACACGUGCUACAAUGGUCGGUACAAAGGGUUGCCAAGCCGCGAGGUGGAGCUAAUCCCAUAAAACCGAUCGUAGUCCGGAUCGCAGUCUGCAACUCGACUGCGUGAAGUCGGAAUCGCUAGUAAUCGUGAAUCAGAAUGUCACGGUGAAUACGUUCCCGGGCCUU
rnacentral:rRNA from 1 species